rnacentral:rRNA from 1 species
GACGUAGGGAGCGAGCGUUGUCCGGAUUCAUUGGGCGUAAAGAGCGCGCAGGCGGCUUGGUAAGUCGGAUGUGAAAACCCGGAGCUCAACUCCGGGCGUGCAUCCGAUACUGCCCGGCUAGAGGUAGGUAGGGGAGAUCGGAAUUCCUGGUGUAGCGGUGGAAUGCGUAGAUAUCAGGAGGAACACCGGUGGCGAAGGCGGAUCUCUGGGCCUUACCUGACGCUCAGGCGCGAAAGCUAGGGGAGCGAACAGG